rnacentral:rRNA from 1 species
UACGGAGGGUGCGAGCGUUAUCCGGAAUUACUGGGUUUAAAGGGUGCGUAGGCGGCUAUGUAAGUCAGGAGUGAAAGUUUGCGGCUCAACCGUAAAAUUGCUUUUGAUACUGCAUGGCUGGAAUUAGGAUGAGGUCAGCGGAAUGUGGCAUGUAGCGGUGAAAUGCAUAGAUAUGCCAUAGAACACCAAUUGCGAAGGCAGCUGGCUAGACCUGGAUUGACGCUGAGGAGCGAAAGCAUGGGGAGCGAACAGG